rnacentral:rRNA from 1 species
UGGGGAAUCUUGCACAAUGGGGGAAACCCUGAUGCAGCGACGCCGCGUGAGCGAUGAAGCCCUUCGGGGUGUAAAGCUCUUUCGGCAGGGACGAUAAUGACGGUACCUGCAGAAGCAGCUGCGGCUAACUACGUGCCAGCAGCCGCGGUAAUACGUAGGCAGCAAGCGUUGUUCGGAGUUACUGGGCGUAAAGGGUGCGUAGGCGGCUUCUUAAGUCUGGUGUGAAAUCUCCCGGCUCAACUGGGAGGGUGCGCCGGAUACUGAGGGGCUAGAGUGUGGGAGAGGAAAGUGGAAUUCCAGGUGUAGCGGUGAAAUGCGUAGAUAUCUGGAGGAACACCGGUGGUGUAAACGGCUUUCUGGACCAUUACUGACGCUGAUGCACGAAAGCGUGGGUAGCAAACAG